CGUUGAAACACCGAUUCCCGUACGAACACCGAAAUUGAGCAACGUCGAGACCGGUCAUUACCUAGAUGGGUGACCGCUUGGGAAUACCAGGUGCUGUAAG